rnacentral:rRNA from 1 species
AGGACGAACGCUGGCGGCGUGCUUAACACAUGCAAGUCGAGCGGAAAGGCCCUUCGGGGUACUCGAGCGGCGAACGGGUGAGUAACACGUGAGCAACCUGCCCUCAGCUCUGGGAUAGCUCCGGGAAACCGGAAUUAAUACCGGAUAUGACCCUGACUGACAUCGGUCAGGGUGGAAAGGAUUCCGGCUGAGGAUGGACUCGCGGCCUAUCAGCUAGUUGGUGGAGUAACGGCCCACCAAGGCGACGACGGGUAGCCGGCCUGAGAGGGCGACCGGCCACACUGGGACUGAGACACGGCCCAGACUCCUGCGGGAGGCAGCAGUGGGGAAUAUUGCGCAAUGGGCGAAAGCCUGACGCAGCGACGCCGCGUGGGGGAUGAAUGCCUUCGGGUUGUAAACCCCUUUCAGCAGGGACGAAGCGAGAGUGACGGUACCUGCAGAAGAAGCGCCGGCUAACUACGCGCCAGCAGCCGCGGUAA